rnacentral:tRNA from 1 species
GGAGAGGUGACCGAGCGGCCGAAGGUGCUCGCCUGCUAAGCGAGUGUGUGGGUUGCCCCCGCACCGUGGGUUCGAAUCCCACCCUCUCCGCCG